rnacentral:rRNA from 1 species
UACGUAGGGGGCAAGCGUUGUCCGGAAUUAUUGGGCGUAAAGAGCUCGUAGGCGGUUUGUCGCGUCGGCUGUGAAAACCCGGAGCUCAACUCCGGGCCUGCAGUCGAUACGGGCAGACUGGAGUUCGGCAGGGGAGACUGGAAUUCCUGGUGUAGCGGUGAAAUGCGCAGAUAUCAGGAGGAACACCGGUGGCGAAGGCGGGUCUCUGGGCCGAUACUGACGCUGAGGAGCGAAAGCGUGGGGAGCGAACAGG